ACAGCAGUCGCCACGGGAAUACAGAGGGUGCAAGCGUUAAUCGGAAUUACUGGGCGUAAAGGGCGCGUAGGUGGUUGCGUAAGUGAGAUGUGAAAUCCCCGGGCUUAACCUGGGACGUGCAUCUUAUACUGCGUAACUGGAGUGCAAGAGAGGGUAGUGGAAUUUCCGGUGUAGCGGUGAAAUGCGUAGAUAUCGGAAGGAACACCAGUGGCGAAGGCGGCUACCUGGCUUGACACUGACACUGAGGCGCGAAAGCGUGGGGAGCAAACAGGAUUAGAUACCCGCGUAGUCCCUGUCUCUUAUCC
rnacentral:rRNA from 1 species